rnacentral:pre_miRNA from 1 species
GAUUUCAACUGAAAAAGUCAUCAACAACAAAGUGAAAGUGGUAUAACUCAUCAAGAUCUAUAACUUUUAUUUGGGUCAUUUUUUCAUCCAACAAAGUGAUUUGUAACAUCAUUCACAAAAUGUACAUAUCUCUGAUAUAGUUUAUAAACUAUAAGAGAGAUAUGUAAACUUUAUAAACAAUGUUACUAUUACUUUGUCGGAUGAAGAAAUGACAAAAUAAAAGUUAUAGAUAUUGAUGAGUUAUACAGCUUUGUUGUUGAUGACUUUUUUUAGUUGAAAUC